rnacentral:rRNA from 1 species
UGGGGAAUUUUGGACAAUGGGCGAAAGCCUGAUCCAGCAAUGCCGCGUGUGUGAAGAAGGCCUUCGGGUUGUAAAGCACUUUUGUCCGGAAAGAAAUCCUUGGCUCUAAUACAGUCGGGGGAUGACGGUACCGGAAGAAUAAGCACCGGCUAACUACGUGCCAGCAGCCGCGGUAAUACGUAGGGUGCAAGCGUUAAUCGGAAUUACUGGGCGUAAAGCGUGCGCAGGCGGUUUGCUAAGACCGAUGUGAAAUCCCCGGGCUCAACCUGGGAACUGCAUUGGUGACUGGCAGGCUAGAGUAUGGCAGAGGGGGGUAGAAUUCCACGUGUAGCAGUGAAAUGCGUAGAGAUGUGGAGGAAUACCGAUGGCGAAGGCAGCCCCCUGGGCCAAUACUGACGCUCAUGCACGAAAGCGUGGGGAGCAAAACAGGAUUAGAUACCCUGGUAGUCCACGCCCUAAACGAUGUCAACUAGUUGUUGGGGGAUUUCAUUUCCUUAGUAACGUAGCUAACGCGUGAAGUUGACCGCCUGGGGAGUACGGUCGCAAGAUUAAAACUUAAAUGAAUUG